rnacentral:tRNA from 1 species
GCUAUAGCUCAGCUGGGAGAGCGCCUGCCUUGCACGCAGGAGGUCAGCGGUUCGAUCCCGCUUAGCUCCACCA